UACAGAGGGGGCAAGCGUUAUUCGGAAUUAUUGGGCGUAAAGGGCGCGUAGGCGGCCUGGCAAGUGGAUGGUGAAAUCCCUCGGCUUAACCGAGGAACUGCCAUCCAGACUGCUUGGCUUGAGACCGGGAGAGGUGAGUGGAAUUCCUAGUGUAGAGGUGAAAUUCGUAGAUAUUAGGAAGAACACCAGUGGCGAAGGCGGCUCACUGGCCCGGUACUGACGCUGAGGCGCGAAAGCGUGGGGAGCAAACAGG
rnacentral:rRNA from 1 species